CUCUUGCAGGGUGUGAACGGCAGGUGGUUCCUCCCAUGUAAGGUUCAUCAAGGCCAAUCAGGAUGUUCUUAUAGAGGAGCGGGUUACAUGAGGCAGAUGCCAGAUCAUUCUUACUAAGCGAAAUCCUUGUUCCAGUCCACGGUUCCAUCCUUGAUCUCAGUCAACUGCCUUUUCAUUGUCGGAGUUCACUGGAGGAACCAGUCCAAAGUUUCCCUCUAAUAAUCUCUUUUCUGCUCCUCUGGUUGCCCUCACGGAUUUGCUGUCUGAACUCCUCCUUAGCUCCACCACUCACCUGUCCACCCUCCAACACCACCAUCUCCUGGAACAAACAAAUAAAGGACCGUCACCGACUGCUCAUUACUGCUCACCACAACCUUCCAAUCUCAAAUUCUGUGGGUAGACUCACCUCCUUCCUGGAACUCCACCAUCUUAGAAAUCACCAGUGUGGUAAAAACCAUUCCUCUUCUUGGUGAAGACAGAAGGCAGUGAGCUUUGGGACUUCCCUCAAGCACUGGGAUUGCCAUUUCCUCCCCUGCUGACCUGUACAUGAGACGGUUGACUCUUACAGGAAUCAAGGUGAAGAAGAACAAACACAAACACGGGUAUCUGGAAGGCUGGAGGUCUUGGGCCUGAAAAAAGGCUUGUGGGACUGAGGCACUGUGGAGCAGCUGCUCCGAGCUGCCCGCCAGGCUGUGGGGAAAGAUUGGAAAAGUCAUCAGCAGGCCAGGAACACAUGGCUUGCUCAAAAUAUGGGUGGCCGCCGCACAAAGUCUCCAAACAAAUGGAUUUACAUGAUGUGAUCGCAAUCUUUUGCACUAAGAGGGAGGGUGAACACAACAUAAAUGGCAUUUUCCUGUUGAAAGAGAAAUUGUGAAUGAUGCUAUGGCUCUGUGUUUGAGAGCAGCCAGAGAAAACACAAGAACAGGGCCUUUCUUGUCUGCUUCUGCACGCAGGAUGUUGCAGCCUAGUUUGUGUUUUCUCAGUUCAUAAAGCCAGGAAGAAAAUCUGUAGUGUGUUUUUUUUGUUUGUUUGUAAAUUGGUCUAUGCCAUUCAUUGCGUGUGACACACAUUCACUGUGCAUUUAUGUUAUUACAUGAAGCAUAAUGAAUUACAAAUGUUAUAUUAAAGCAAAGCAAAGCAAAGCAAAACAGAACAACUACCAACCUAUUUCAUGCUGGACAUGUAUUUAUCUUUAGCAUAUCAGCAUAUGUCUUCUUUGGUAAAUGAGCAACCAACUGCCUUCAAAUAUCACUUAAGAGUCCAGCUAUUAAUAUUUUAAUCCCAGUUUAAAUACUUUUGUAAAGACUUUAGAGGGUUGUUAGAAAACAAUCAGCAUUAUGAAGUCCUUGGUGAUGAAGGUAUGGAGAAAUUUAAAGCUUUAAGUUCCAAGCUUUGAACCUUCAGGUGGCCCUGUUUAUUUCAUUAUCUUACAAUAAAAGGAGUAUAGCACAACUGCAAACUCAUCAAGACAUAGCCGUCCAUCUAACUUAACAAGGAGACCCAUGGUGACUUUGGAGAAGCUGCAGAAAUCCAUAGCUCAGAUGCCGUAAUCUGCCAACAGGGCAACUAUGUGCCACGCACUCUGAAAAUCAUCUCUUAAUGGCAGUGUCAAGAUAACAGGCAUUUUUUUUUUUUCAAAGUCACGUUUUCAGUUUGGAAAAAGCCAUGUAGGAGACACAGCAAACAUGAGGAUAGGGGUUCUCUGGUCAGAUAAGACUAAAUUAAUCCUGUUCGUGUUAUGAUUUGCGGGUGUUUUGGGGUUUUUGUUGGUGUUAUUUCACAGUUGAUGUUUUGAAUCAUGUUUCUGUUAUUUUUCUGGUCA